rnacentral:lncRNA from 1 species
UUCUGCUGCAUUGGCUGCCCCUUGUUGUCCUUCUUGGCCAAGGCCAGCUUGUUCUGGGUCGCUAGGAGCUGCUGGGCGGGGGUGACAGGCUUCAGCCACUUAGCUAAGGGGCAGGAGCUUGAACUGGGGGCCUGUGAGCCCAUUUUCAGCACUUGCCCUUUUUAGCCCCAAAWUUAAUUAAUUUUUCCGGUUCGAACGGAGUUCGAGAGCUCCGAAAAUAAUUAAUUUAAGACUUCGAAUUUUGGGGUUCGAACGCCCCAGAAUUAAUUAAUUUUCGAUUUGGUCGUGGAGCUACGGUAUU